GGGGCCUUAGCUCAGUUGGUAGAGCGCCUGCUUUGCAAGCAGGAUGUCAGGAGUUCGAUUCUCCUAGGCUCCAC
rnacentral:tRNA from 7 species